GAGCAAUAGAACAAUGCCCAGAGCAGCCUGGCCUCCUCUGCUUCUUCUACUAAGUGGUUAGUUGCCUACCUGGCAGACAUAAACACCUUCUGACAAAGAAAUGUGAAAAGAGUUGGAAACCUGCUGUUUGGAGACUAUUCUCCUACUAGACAUCCAAGAGAUCUCCAGAGAUCUAUUUCAGCCUCACAUCUAUACCAUUACCCCAAUUUUCUUUCAUUGAGUGAGAAUUGAAUGAACUUUUGGAAAGACGGUCACUUUUCAUUAUUCAAAUGGGAGAGAAGAUCCAGAAUACAGGGCUUUCCUGUUCAAAGCUGAACGAUUAGCUGGGGGCCCCAUGGGGAGAAUCCAGUCCACAACAGUCCAACCUUCUCAAAGGUGUGACCAGAACUGCAACAUAGAAUUGUGAUGCAGCAAUCCUAAAAGUCAACCGUGAGCUAUGAACUCGUGACUGUCUGGUUCCACUCACCAAAAGACCAUGAUUAGAAUCAUUGACAACAGCUCAGCUCAGAUAUAAACAGCAGCCCUCUGAGCACUUCACCCACCUUGCUUCGUUAGGAAAACUCUUUCUAAGGCAUGGACCUUUCAGACUUCACCAUGAAAAGGAGGAAGCCCAGACUGAAAUGAGUUAAAACCUUCGUCUUGGAGAGAGGAUUGUGGCUUGGCCCUGAGUUAAGCACCAUGAAGAAGAACAAUAGGAACUCUACCACAAGGAUCAAUAAGCAAGAUGCCAUCUCCGUCCCACCCUUCCAAGAUGCAGGAGAUCUUCAAAAUAUGUUGGAUGGAGGAGAGUAUGCCCCUUUUGUAUCUCCUCCCAUAUUAGAGAGCAAUUUUAUCCAGGUUAAUAGGAGAGGUGAAUCCAUUUACCUUCACAACCGAGCCAACUGGGUGACUGUAGGCAUCUGCUCUUCCAGUAGCACCCACAAGACCCCCAAUGUGAUGCUUCUGGCACAUCUGACACCUGAAGCCCAGAAAGAUACAGAACCCCUAUUUCAAAGGCUCCUGACAUCUCCUUCUCCAGAGAACCUGGUGCUCACCAGGUUUCUCCCUCUACAGUUUGUGACUCUUUCUGUGCAUGAUGCUGAGAAUAUGCGCCUCAAAGUAAAGCUGGUCAGUGGUCGAGCCUACUACCUGCAGCUCUGUGCCCCUGCAUGUAAACAGGACACCCUAUUUUGUCAAUGGGUGGAACUCAUCUCCCUCUUGAAUCAGGAGAAAGCCAAAGUUUCCAAACUGUCAGAAGUCUCAAGCCUCUCGGAAAUCACCAAUAGCACAGAUAUCACAGGUUCAGUGGACAUCAUGGAUAUUGCAGCAUUUGCAGCCAUACAGACCCCGCACAUGUACACAUGUUCAGACCCUGUAAAUGCCAUAGAAAGCAUUGAUUUCUCAGAAUUCACAGAUGUCACUGAUGUCACAGACGUCACAGAUGUUCCAGAAAAUGAGGUCACAGAGGCCCCAGAUAUAAAAAUUGUCACAGAAGUCACAGAAGUCAUGGAUGUCUGUGAUGUCCCAAACAACUCGGAGGUUACAGUGGUGUUUGAAAACGAUGACAUACUAAGGGCCAAGCAAGAGGAAAAGGAAAAGAUGGAAAACAUUCUGAAGCCUGGGUGUCUACGAGAUACAAAAAUUAAGAAUGAAUGCAAAGAAUCCUCAAAACAUGUCACCAUCUCAAAUGUAACACUGACUUUCGAAGGUGAACGAUGUUUUCAUUCUACUUUGACUCCAGAAGAAAGUGACAUAAAUUCAUUCAAAAGGAUGAGCAUUAUUAGAACAUCUGAAAUAAGGACAACUGAUUUUAGCAACACAGCUCUCAAGGCUGAGGAAUCCAGGAGCAUGAGAACUGAUUCAGGCACUUCAGGCUUGCAUAGUAUUUUGAUUUUCCCUCUGCUUAGCAUUUCUUUCCCCCUUUUUACAGUCCUCUAAAUCACUUCUUUUUGCCCUUUCAUACCCUUACUCACACUUAACACUUUUUACCCCAAGAAGAGCAAGGAUUAGUAGAAUCUUAAUCCCUUGUUCCAUUGAAUUUAGACUAAAUGUAGACUAAAAAUGAGUCUGCGAAUCUGAUUUCUAUUCUAGGCAGUAGCCAGAAUAGUAACUGCUCCCCACUGCAAUAAAACAAAACCCUGGUCCUAUUAACCUGGUCAGAUUCACAUUCACCCAACUCCAGGCAAUGCUACCUGAGGACCAUGGUCUCUUAUUCAUGUCUCAAACCACUCAGCAGUUUGACAAAAGGACACUUUUUCUCCUUUCUGAGUAAGGCUUUGGGUAAAGUGGACUCUGAAUGUACUGUUUUCAUGAAAAGGCUGCAGGAAGAGCCUAGGCUAACACUGUCUCUCAGGAUCUGGGUCCAUCUGUCCCUUUUCUUGACUUUUAAUUUCUUACCUAUCUAGGUUUUACUCACUUUAGCUCUGUUGAUCUCUUUACGGUGAGCCCAAACUUAGGCUUACCUUUGAUCCUAUAGUAUUUUCCCAAGAUGGAAAGCAAUCAGACAAAGGAUAGACAUCCAAGAAAUAGAGAAGGGAAAACUGCUACCAAACACCGGGAAUUUCCUCCCCAUUUAUAUCCAUCUUUCUUUUCCACUUUCCUCUUAACUAUUGCAAAUCAAAUUCUUUGCAAUCUUAAGCAGCCAUGUUCAUUCUGUUUAUGAAACCCAGUCUAAAAAAGAGAAAGGAUGGAAGAACCCUAACAAGGAAACUGUGAAAUUUAACAAUGGGCUCCAUUGGGAAAAAUAAAGACAUUUUUAAAUUUAAGACCAAAUUGAGUUCUCUCUCCUGUGCUUUUCUCUCUUGCUUUUGGCUUUUUUUUCUUUCUUCUUCACUUCCCCUCUCUAAUGAUCUCUAUUUCACUUUCCUCACUAUUUUUCUUUUCGCCCUCUGGCUCCCUCCUCUCAUGUCAAAUCUUUUACCUCCCUCAAACUUGUGCCUCAUCUGUCUCCCCCUUUCUCAGGGGAAUGGAUGUGAGGAAUGGAAAGUAAAAGAAAAGGCCAAUGGAAAAAAACAUGUAAGACAACCUAAAGAUAAAUACAAACUACUAAACUAAAAAAUAAGAACAACUCAAGAAAUAAUAACCAACAGAAGAGAAAAACAAGGCAGUGUCUUCCAUGUGGCAGAAAUAAAGGCUACUACUAAUCAA